rnacentral:rRNA from 1 species
AUUGAACGCUGGCGGCAGGCCUAACACAUGCAAGUCGAGCGGAUGAAGGGAGCUUGCUUCUGGAUUCAGCGGCGGACGGGUGAGUAAUGCCUAGGAAUCUGCCUGGUAGUGGGGGAUAACGUUCGGAAACGGGCGCUAAUACCGCAUACGUCCUGAGGGAGAAAGUGGGGGAUCUUCGGACUUCACGCUAUCGGAUGAGCCUAGGUCGGAUUAGCUAGUUGGUGGGGUAAAGGCCUACCAAGGCGACGAUCCGUAACUGGUCUGAGAGGAUGAUCAGUCACACUAGAACUGAGACACGGUCCAGACUCCUACGGGAGGCAGCAGUGGGGAAUAUUGGACGAUGGGCGAAAGCCUAAUCCAGCCAUGCCGCGUGUGUGAAGAAGGUCUUCGGAUUGUAAAGCACUUUAAGUUGGGAGGAAGGGCAGUAAGUUAAUACCUUGCUGUUUUGACGUUACCAACAGAAUAAGCACCGGCUAACUUCGUG